UUUGCGACAACGUAGUCAUAACUCAAAAAACCGAAAUUUUUAGUUAAUAAUACAGAUAAAAUCUGCGAAAAGAGUAGAAUUUGCUUCAAAAACGACAUUUCUCGCGAUCGUUCAUGUAAGAGCGAGACAUAAGUUGUGACGAUAUAUCGCUAUCUCGCCCGUUUUGGUCCUUUGCUACGACAUCGUCACUACUCAGUUGCGCCGCGGCAGUGUCAGUGGGUGGUUGUGCGUGUUUUCGUCAAGACCGAAAUAUUUCGAAUUGAAACGUUGUUGAUGAUAAAGGUCAUGUAAUGAUGGAGUCCAGGGGUAGGAAGAUGCUAGCCUUAUUAGAACGGAAUAAAAAUGAUACUGUGGGCACCAGCGAGGAACAAUGUACUUCGGCUGAUAGCAGUUCGAAAGGAGUUACCCAGACACCCAAAGAAAACAGCGAAGAAACAGAUGUAACAAGACCUUCAUUGAAUGAAACCGAUAGCGACGACUCUAUCUGAAAGGACUCUAUCUAUAUAAGGAUCCAAUGUAUAUACCGCCCGAAAACCCAAGUCAAAACAACCACGAUGAGUUACCUGUCGACGAAGAAAACGAAAUGUUGUGUGUCUUUGAUAGCUCUAUACAAAAUUUGCCCUCGACCUCGGCUCCAAAUACGACUAAUACUUCUGCAAGGCCGUCUACUUCCAGAGAAGGGAGAAUCCCAACGAGCCCUGCUGUGAGUCCUGAAAAAAAGAGAGGAAGAAAACGCAAGCGUGAUGAAGCACAAUGGAAGAAAAAUAUUGCCAAAAGAUUACGAAACACAG